UUGAAAGGGAAACGAUUGAAGUCAGUCGUACCAGCGGGAAUCAACCUUUCGAGUGGGGGUUUUGGAGUUUUGAAGAGUGUCAAAACCUUUGAGAUUUCAAAAUAUUCGCUCUUUUGGUGUACUUUCUCGUGGGUAGGUUAACAUCGAUUUUGAUCAUCAUAAAAAGAUUGGAGGAAUGUAGCUUCGAUCUUGUAUUGAAGUGUUAUAGCCUUUGGUAAAUGUGAUGAUUAGGAUCGAGGAUUGCAACGAAUACCCUUUUGGGCUAUCCGCCUGAUCUCUGAUACGUGGCCUUGGUAUCGAAAGCUUGCUUAUGGUAUUAAGGUAUUACGGUCAAAAGGUUAGAACGGAUUACAUUCGUUAAGGAUGUUGACGUA
rnacentral:rRNA from 1 species